rnacentral:rRNA from 1 species
UACAGAGGUCUCAAGCGUUGUUCGGAUUCAUUGGGCGUAAAGGGUGCGUAGGUGGCGCGCUAAGUCAGGUGUGAAAUUUCGGAGCUUAACUCCGAAACUGCAUUUGAUACUGGCGUGCUUGAGGACUGGAGAGGAGACUGGAAUUCAUGGUGUAGCAGUGAAAUGCGUUGAUAUCAUCAGGAACACCGGAGGCGAAGGCGGCUUACUGGGGCCUAUCUGACGCUGAGGAACGAAAGCCAGGGGAGCGAACGGG